rnacentral:rRNA from 1 species
UACGGGGGGAGCAAGCGUUGUUCGGAUUUACUGGGCGUAAAGGGCGCGUAGGCGGCCUCCGCAAGUCAGUUGUGAAAUCUCCGAGCUUAACUCGGAAAGGUCAACUGAUACUGCGGGGCUAGAGUGCGGAAGGGGCAACUGGAAUUCUUGGUGUAGCGGUGAAAUGCGUAGAUAUCAAGAGGAACACCUGCGGCGAGGGCGGGUUGCUGGGCCGACACUGACGCUGAGGCGCGAAAGCUAGGGGAGCGAACGGG